rnacentral:lncRNA from 1 species
UGAGAAACAGGGAGCAAGCAAAGAAGGGAAGGCAUCUUGCUGCUGUCUGUAGAGAGAGCUUCUUCUACAGGGAGGAAGCUCCUGGAGAUAAAGUUUCUGUUUCCAUUCCUUGUCCAUGGCCUUUGCAUUUACAGCAAUAAUUUUGCUCUCCUUCCUGCAGCAAGAAUGAUGAUUUGAACAAGACCAAGUGAAAGAACUGUAAGGAACAGUAGAAUAAGACUUGAGAGAAGCUGCCUUCCUCAAAGGAAUUAUUCAAAAUGCAAGCUGAGGCUUCUAAGGGGCAGCAGCAAGGCACCACCGUGGCUUUUGCAAAUGGUUUGGAGCUGAAAGCAAAGCUUGAGCCGUCUGCACUCUGCUGGGUUCCCUGCUAUGGAGAAACAUGAAAUCCAGGUCAGCCUUCAUCACAGUGCAGAGCAAGAGACACAGUGAGG